CGCUGGCGGCGUGCCUAACACAUGCAAGUCGAACGGUCCUUCGGGACAGUGGCGCACGGGUGAGUAACACGUAGCUAAUCUGCCCUCAAGACAGGGAUAACUGUAGGAAACUACCGCUAAUACCUGAUAAGCUCACGGUCUGUAGAGGAUUGUGAGAAAAACUCAGGUGCUUGAGGAUGGGGCUGCAAAUCAUCAGCUAGAUGGUGGGGUAAGAGCCUACCAUGGCGACGACGAUUAGGGGACCUGAGAGGGUGACCCCCCACACUGGGACUGAGACACGGCCCAGACUUCUACGGAAGGCAGCAGUGAGGAAUAUUGCACAAUGGACGCAAGUCUGAUGCAGCGACGCCGCGUGGGUGAAGAAGGUUUUCGGAUCGUAAAGCCCUUUUCUGUGUGACGAGAGUGGACGGUAAGCACAGGAAUAAGUCUCGGCUAACUACGUGCCAGCAGCCGCGGUAAAACGUAGGAGGCAAGCGUUAUCCGGAGUUACUGGGCGUAAAGCGCGUGCAGGCGGGUCGGUAAGUUACUUAUGAGAGCUCCUGGCUAAACUGGGAGAGGUUGAGUGAUACUGCCAAUCUAGAGUGGAUGAGAGGUGAAGAGAAUUCCUUGUGUAGUGGUGAAAUGCGUAGAUAUGAGGAAGAAUAUCGGUGGCGAAACGCUUCACUGGCAUCCAACUGACGCUCAGACGCGAAAGCAUGGGUAG
rnacentral:rRNA from 1 species